rnacentral:rRNA from 1 species
CCGGCGACCGGCGCACGGGUGAGUAACACGUAUGGAACCUGCCCGCCAGCAGGGGGAGUAAGCGGAAGAAAUUCCGUCUAAUACCGCGUAACAACGUUGGGAGGCAUCUCCCGAUGUUUAAAGAUUUAUCGGCUGCGGAUGGCCAUGCGGCGCAUUAGCUAGUCGGCGGGGUAACGGCCCACCGAGGCGACGAUGCGUAGGGGUUCUGAGAGGAAGGUCCCCCCACACUGGUACUGAGACACGGACCAGACUCCUACGGGAGGCAGCAG